rnacentral:rRNA from 1 species
AAGGAAUUCCCUAGUAGCGGCGAGCGAAGCGGGAAGAGCUCAAAUUUAUAAUCUGGCACCUUCGGUGUCCGAGUUGUAAUCUCUAGAAGUGUUUUCCGCGUUGGACCGCACACAAGUCUGUUGGAAUACAGCGGCAUAGUGGUGAAACCCCCGUAUAUGGUGCGGACGCCCAGCGCUUUGUGAUACACUUUCAAUGAGUCGAGUUGUUUGGGAAUGCAGCUCAAAUUGGGUGGUAAAUUCCAUCUAAAGCUAAAUAUUGGCGAGAGACCGAUAGCGAACAAGUACCGUGAGGGAAAGAUGAAAAGCACUUUGGAAAGAGAGUUAACAGUACGUGAAAUUGUUGGAAGGGAAACGCUUGAAGUCAGACUUGCUUGCCGGAGCUUGCUUCGGUUUGCAGGCCAGCAUCAGUUUUCCGGGGUGGAUAAUGACGGUUUGAAGGUAGCAGUCUCGGCUGUGUUAUAGCUUUCCGUUGGAUACAUCCUGGGGGACUGAGGAACGCAGCGUGCUUUUUGCGAAAGACUCGUCUUUUUCACGCUUAGGAUGCUGGUGGAAUGGCUUUAAACGACCCGUCUUGAACCACGGACCAAA